UUCAGAGGAAACACAAACUGGACAUGUUUUUAACUUGUCGUAGUGAAGGCAUUUUUGGCUCCACAGACACAGAAGUUGUAUCAACGUGUUCAGCCGGGUCUUGUGGUUCUCACAAGCUCAUUAUCAUGAAGAUAGCAGUUACAGAGGAUGAGAAAUAUGACGUUGUUUGGGCAUUACGUUCUCAGCCUCAAGCCUCCUUUCUCCUGCUGUUGUUAAGCAUCUAUCGUCACCAUGGCAACCAAAGGGAGCACCUGGAGACACACAGCUGGCUGGAAAGCUGCUUCUAACAGCCAUAUGAGACACAUGAAGCCAGGCUCAGUACACAGAGUACUGGGGGUGACAUUUAAAACCCUUCAAUAGCGUUAUUUGACGAAAUUUGUCAUCUAUCUCUUCGCACAAACCUUGAGCUACAGAAACCAUCCAGGGCUUAAUAAAUUCAGCUCAUUGAGGACAUUAUGGGGUCAAAUCAGGAUUUUUUUUCAUUUACAUUGUCCCCAUUUUUCAAUCAUUCAUUGAAAAUGCAUUAUUUAGUUCUUCAAACUAAUUUAUUUCCUUCAAACUGAUUUAAACCGUUUUGAUUCUUCAAACCUCUUUUUCUUCCAGAUUUGUAACCUUUUAAUUCUCCAGUUUUAAAUAUUUUUUACUCUUAAUACAUUAUUCAGUUCUUUCAAACAAAUUCCAACUCAUUUACACUGAUUCAAAACUUAUUGGUUCUUCAAGCCUUUCCCAUACUUCAGGGUUUUUAAUCAUUUUAAUUUUCAGAUGUUGAAUUUUCUAAAAUUGUUAUUCAUGCAUUAUUCAAUUCAUUCAAUUGAGUUUAUUCCAAUUGAUUCAAAUCUUCCUGAUUCUUCAUACCUUUUGACCUUUCACAUAUUUUAAAAUUCAGCC